GAAUGGUAUUCAUGCAUCAAGUGUUAUAGUUUUGAGAAGGGAAAAGCCAAGGGGAUGUCUUGUUUUCCUUCUGCCUGUGAAACAGCCGUGCAUUUUGGAUCAUCAUUGUAAUAAAGCCUACAUUCAAAAAACAUACCCAGCACUGAUUCAUCUCCUGGAAGUUAUCAGCAGCAUCUGUUGUCUCUGGUAAAGAUGAAGAUUUUCAGCCUAAAUAACAGUCCAUGUAGCACUUGAUUGGGCUGGGGAGGUGAUGUGAAUCCUCUCCUAGAGUCAUGGCUGUUUAAUGCCGUAGUGGAUUUUUUUUACGGGUGAAAUGUUGCUGGCUUAGAGCCCUGGAGGCUGGAAUCAUCCCCAGAUGAGAGCUGGUUUGUACAUAGCGACAUACAGCAACUUUUAUUGCAAGUCUAAUGAGUCAUAGAGACUGCAGCUC